GAUGAACGCUGGCGGCGUGCCUAAUACAUGCAAGUCGAGCGAACAGACGAGGAGCUUGCUCCUCUGACGUUAGCGGCGGACGGGUGAGUAACACGUGGAUAACCUACCUAUAAGACUGGGAUAACUUCGGGAAACCGGAGCUAAUACCGGAUAAUAUAUUGAACCGCAUGGUUCAAUAGUGAAAGACGGUUUUGCUGUCACUUAUAGAUGGAUCCGCGCCGCAUUAGCUAGUUGGUAAGGUAACGGCUUACCAAGGCGACGAUGCGUAGCCGACCUGAGAGGGUGAUCGGACACACUGGAACUGAGACACGGUCCAGACUCCGACGGGAGGCAGCAGUAGGGAAUCUUCCGAAAUGGGCGAAAGCCUGACGGAGCAACGCCGCGUGAGUGAUGAAGGUCUUCGGAUCGUAAAACUCUGUUAUUAGGGAAGAAAAAAUGUGUAAGUAACUAUGCACGUCUUGACGGUACCUAAUCAGAAAGCCACGGCUAACCACGUG
rnacentral:rRNA from 1 species